GUUGAUCCUGCCGGACCUGACUGCUAUUGGAGUAGGACUAAGUCACGCUAGUCAAAGGUGUGGAAUGGAACACCUGGCGCACGGCUCAGUAACACGUUGUGAACCUACCCUAAGGACGAGGACAACCACGGGAAACUGUGGCUAAUCCUCGAUAGGAAAUUUGGCCUGGAACGGUAUCUUUCCUAAAACCGGCUCGCCGUGAGACACGGGCCUUAGGAUGGCGCUGCGGCCGAUUAUGCUAGACGGCGGUGUAAAGGACCACCGUGGCGACGAUCGGUAUGGGCGAUGGAAGCCGGAGCCCAGAGUCGGCUACUGAGACAAGGAGCCGAGCCUUACGAGGCUUAGCGGUCGCGAAAACUCGCCAAUGCACGAAAGUGUGAGUGGGCUACUCCAAGUGUCAUUCUUACGGAUGACUGUCGCUCAGUUUUACAAGCUGAGAAAGGAAGGAGAGGGCAAGGCUGGUGCCAGCCGCCGCGGUAAAACCAGCUCUCCGAGUGGUCAGGACGAAUAUUGGGUCUAAAGCGUUCGUAGCGGGACAAGUAGGUUCUUGGUUAAAUCCGACGUCAUAAGCGUUGGGCUGCUGGGAAUACCGCUAGUCUUGAGAGCGGGAUAGGACAGGGGUAGUCUAUGGGCAGGGGUGAAAUCCAGUGAUC
rnacentral:rRNA from 1 species